UCCCUGGUGGCUCAGAUGGUAAAGCGUCUGCCUACAAUGCAGGAGACCCAGGUUUGAUCCCUGGGUCGGGAA
rnacentral:tRNA from 1 species